rnacentral:misc_RNA from 1 species
UGUAUCUCUGUAUACUCUGACUUUACUUCUCUAUGAGUCCUGUCAUGUGUAAUUAUUGUAACAAUAUAGUUAUAAUUAUAAUGUUGAAUGAUUAUUUCCUUAUCAUGAGUUGAUACUGUUUGUUUUCCAAUGAGAGUGAUGCAUUACACAAAACCUAGGCAUCUAUUUGGUGAAUUCGAUAGUAAUAAUGUUAUAAAUAGUAAAUUAAUCUAUUUGAAACAACCGAAUUAGUCAAAACAAUGUUCCCAGUGUUGUACACUUUGUGCGGAUUCGCUGCUUUUUUUCUUGUAUUUUGGUGUGGAUUAUGGCUUAUUCAUCUCACUGCCAUUAUUUAUGGUAAAUGCAAACUUAAUAAGAAGACAAAUGCCCUACCAAACGAAACACCAUAUCCUGGGGUAACAAUUUUGAAACCACUGAUGGGAGUUGAUCCUAAUCUUUCUAGUAACCUUGAAACAUUUUUUACAAUGAAUUAUCCUUUGUAUGAAAUAUUAUUUUGUAUAGAAGAUAAGAAUGAUCCAGCCAUAAUGCCUGUAAAACGUUUGAUGGAGAAGUAUCCUCAGGUUGAUACUCAGCUAUUCAUUGGAGGAGCUGACGUCGGAGUCAACCCAAAAAUAAAUAACAUGCAACCGGGCUAUUUGUCAGCCAAGUAUCCUUUCAUCUUGGUUUCUGAUAGUGGAAUAAGAAUGAAGGAAGAUACUCUCCUAGAUAUGGUGCAUCAUAUGGCUGAUGAAGUCGGUCUCGUGCAUCAGAUGCCAUUCGUGUGUGAUAGAGAGAACAAUUUCGCAUCAAAUUUUGAGAAGAUAUUUUUCGGAACGGUUCAAGCGCGUAUUUAUCUAGUUGCCGACCUACUUGGGAUCAAUUGUCAUACUGGAAUGUCGGCACUGAUGAAGAAAGAAUUACUUGAUGAGGUGGGAGGGAUCCAAGCCUUCGGAUGCUACCUGGCCGAGGAUUUCUUCUUUGCCAAAUCGUUCACCGAUAGGGGCUGGAAAAUCAGGAUUAGCGGACAGCCUGCCUGGCAAAACUCCGGUUACUGUGAGAUCACCAGCUUCCAAGCUAGAUUGCAGAGGUGGACCAAAUUAAGAGUUGCAAUGGUUCCAUUGACAAUUCUUUUAGAACCUCUGUCGGAAUGCAUGAUUAUUGGUGGAUUCGCGUCCUGGUCGGCAUACUUCCUGUUUCACUGGGACCCUCUAGUCUUCUAUUUAGUUCAUAUACUUUUGUGGUUUCUGUGUGAUUGGGUACUACUUUCUGUUAUCCAGAGGAAAAAUAGGGUCGCCAGCCGAAUUUAUUUUGCUUAGCUUGUAGCUGAGUAUGUACAUCAUCAUCAUCAUCGCCGUCAACCCCUAUAAAUGAUCAUCAGCGGAUUCAUCUGAACCAGAAAUUUCCAGAUCUUGUUUACUGGUUUGAGCGAUCUGUUAUCUAACAUGCAGGCAGCAUCAGUCGCACCAGAGCGGCCGCUUCUUGUAAUUUCUGAAUGGCUCUCUUCCAUUCAACAAAUUCGAAUUUGUUGUGGGCUGGAUAUUUCGUGAGGUUAACGGACCAUAUCUAUUCACUUGUGCAAUUUGGGAUCCUGCGAUCUCAUGGCGAUCUCGUACAUACAAAUUACGCUGGGGGGGCAUUGCCGAAGAACAUAAACCCAAGAUAAAGCUGUGACUUAAUCUGCAUGCAUUAUAUAAUUAGGUAAUGGAUCUAAUUUAUUCGAUAUUGUGAAUUAUUGGCACCAAUCUAUCGUUUUUGUGGUGGAUUCAAUUGAAUGUACAUUGUAUAUUUAUUGUUUAUGUUGUAUAUUGUUUAAAUACGGAAUGAUCAACGUCGUCUAUUAAUACACAUCAAAUAAUUUUUUUAAUUGUAGAUGAAAUUUCGAUGUGAGUCGUAUAUCAGUGUAUAUUGAUAAAUGUAUGGUCUAAUUUAUUUACUCUAAAGUAUGCAUUAUUUGCAUUACGUGAUCAUCGAUUUAGCUAGUGUAAAUAAAUGCAAUAAAUCAACACUGCGAGCAAUCUUCUACUGUACAGCUUAGUCUCUAUCAAUUUCACGUCACACAUGAUCAUUGCUUUAUUGUUCAAACGGUCCAUGUACAUUUUAUAAAAUUUAUAUUUAUUUUAUAAAAUUUUAAUUAUGUACAAUAUUUAGUUAUUUUUAAUGUUGGAUAUUAGUACGAAAUCAUUGUUCUUUUAAUUCUCACCAUUAGUUAUAGUUGAAAAACGGUACUUCAUAAACGAUAUUAUUGUUUUUAAUUAUUCAAAUUGAAAAAUUUAUUUUUAUCCAAGUUAUUAUUAAUUUUAAAACAGUGCGUGUAUAUUUUUUAACUAAUUCGUUAUUUUUACUGUUCAUUAUAAUUAAAAAUCACUGCUCUUUGGUCAAUUAUUGUAUGGUUAUAGUUUUUAAAACAAAUCACAUGAAUUUUAUAAAAGUUUUUGGAACAAAUAUUUAAAUCCAUGAACCGGUCUCAUUAUUAGUGACUUGCUUCUCCUCAGCAAACAUGAUAUUAUUACUAUUCUAAAACUAGAAUAGGAAUGGGAAUAGGAAUUUACCUCAGAAAUAAGAAAGUGCAUUAUUAGGCAAUUGUAAUGGAAUUUUAUUCAUUGUAAAAUGUAUUGGUAAGCUGAAGAACAAUUUAUUGGUUUUUAUUGUGAAUAUAAUAUGUAAUUUUCAUGCAUGCUUACUGUUAUACGGUACCAUUUUACAGUGCUGUGAAAACUUUGGAGUUAGGAUUGUUUUAUCGUUUGUAAAAUGUGUACUAUAGUUUAAAAAAUAAA